rnacentral:lncRNA from 1 species
GAUUUUGGGGGUCAUGGUCCCAUCGGUUUAAGAAUUAGGGGCCCAAAGGGGCCCAAAACAUACAUGUAUCUAGUUUCAGGACAAUAAGUUGUGUAUAAGUAUUUCAAUUACUCUGAAAUUGUACCAAAGUGUUCAUACCAAUAAGUAGAAGGUUGGGAUUUAUUUUAAGGGUUAUGGGGCAAACAGUCUAGGAAUUAAGGGCCAAAAAGGGGCCAAAAACAAGCAUUUUUGAAGUUUCGGGAC